rnacentral:piRNA from 1 species
UGCUCUAGCGGUCCUUUUGCGAUUCUGG